GACGAAUGCUGGCUGCGUGCUUAACACAUGCAAGUCGAACGGUGAAAGGGAGCUUGCUCCCUGGAUCAGUGGCGAACGGGUGAGUAACACGUGGGCAACCUGCCCCUCACUCUGGGAUAACUCCGGGAAACCGGGGCUAAUACCGGAUACGACCUGGUGCGACAUCGCACCGGGUGGAAAGAACUUCGGUGAGGGAUGGGCCCGCGGCCUAUCAGCUUGUUGGUGGGUAACGGCCCACCAAGGCGACGACGGGUAGCCGGCCUGAGAGGGCGACCGGCCACACUGGGACUGAGACACGGCCCAGACUCCUACGGGAGGCUGCAGUCGAGGAUCUUUAGCAAUGGACGAAAGUCUGACUAUGCGACGCCGCGUGAGGGAUGAAGUCCUUCGGGAUGUAAACCUCUUUCGAUGGGGAGGAAAUUCCAUGUUGAAUGGAGCUGACUGUACCCAGAGAAGAAGCCACGGCUAACUCUGUGCCAGCAGCCGCCGUAAGAC
rnacentral:rRNA from 1 species